CGUUCCUGUCCGCCUGGCAGCCCCUCCUGAUGCUGGGGUUUGAUCCCCCUUCCCGCAGACCGGAAGUCAGGCAGGCCCGACCCCAGGCAGGCCCUCCUCCUCUGAGUUCCAGGCCGCCUCUGGCAGCCUUCCUCUCUGCACUGUAGCCUUUCCCAUCUCUAAAAUGGGAGGCUACACUUUGACCCUCAGUGAAGAGCCUUUCCAGCUCAAUAUUCUAGAAGAAAAUGCGGGAUAGUGACCCAGCAGAAGCACACAAGCUUUCCAAGACAGACCUUCAGAGACCCGGGCUGAGGUUCUUCUCCUCACCAGAGCAAAUGCCCUCUAAAACCAGAGCUGGAGGGUUACACCAAAGGAAUGGCAUUCUAAUGGUGGAAUUUCAGGAGCUGGAGUUCUAUUUAAACGGCUGGGCCCGUGAAUCAGGCCGCAGCAGCUCGAGGAGGGGACAAGUUCCCUCGAAUCUUGGAACGUCUCCGGCUGUGAUGCCAAACGCAGCGCAGCAUCUGGGCUUUCAGAGCCUCCCCACCCCCGGGGAAGGCAGCCUUCGGGGGCAGAAGUGGGCGUGGGGAUGCAGCAGAGAGCUGAGCCCUGAGCUGGAGCAGGACCCCUCCGGCCCCCGUGAGGACCAGGUGGGGAAACCGAGGCCCAGGGAAGGACAGAGACUUUUGAAGCCACACAUCCCAUGGGCAGACAGAGACGGGCCUGGAUCCAGGGCUGUACCCCCGUCUGUCACUGUCCUCCACUUUCGGCCAGAGGAACCAGAAGGCCCAGCACUGAGCAGGAAGGGAGCUGGAAGGCCCCCAUGGAGGCUGCCUCUGGCCAGAGGUCAGGCGUGUGUCCCACGAGCCCCAGUCCAGCCUUGGCCUCAGCACCUCCUGCUUCCCCUGUCCCUGGAGUCUGAAGGCAGGAGCAGCCCGCUAGCUUCUCAGGAUCGCCAUUCCCUCCUCCGGUGCUCCUGUCCCCUCAGCUGGGGCAGGCUCCCCAGAGCAGGGGCUCUCUCCCAACCCCCACCUGCCCAGUGAGGCUGGGAAGGCCCAGCUGAUCGCUCACGAGGCAGCUGGCAGACUGCCCUGAGUGCAGGCUGUGGCCUGGGUUUGGAUCUCAAAUUCCGCCUCUUCCAGGCUGUGUGAACUUGGGCCCUUUCCCUCUCUGAGCCUUUGUUUCCUCAUCUGUAAAAUGGGAAUAAAGACAGAGCUUAU
rnacentral:lncRNA from 1 species